UACGUAGGGUGCGAGCGUUAAUCGGAAUUACUGGGCGUAAAGCGUGCGCAGGCGGUUAUGUAAGACAGGUGUGAAAUCCCCGGGCUCAACCUGGGAACUGCAUCUGUGACUGCAUAGCUAGAGUACGGUAGAGGGGGAUGGAAUUCCGCGUGUAGCAGUGAAAUGCGUAGAUAUGCGGAGGAACACCGAUGGCGAAGGCAAUCCCCUGGACCUGUACUGACGCUCAUGCACGAAAGCGUGGGGAGCAAACAGG
rnacentral:rRNA from 1 species